rnacentral:rRNA from 1 species
AGCGUAGGCUGUGCGGUAAGUCAGAUGUGAAAUCCCGGGGCUCAACCCCGGAACUGCAUCCGAUACUGCCGUGCUAGAGGAAUGGAGAGGUAGCUGGAAUUCACGGUGUAGCAGUGAAAUGCGUAGAUAUCGUGAGGAACACCUAUGGCGAAAGCAAGCUACUGGACAACUCCUGACGCUGAGGCUCGAAGGCCAGGGUAGCGAAAG